rnacentral:rRNA from 1 species
AUUGAACGCUGGCGGCAGGCUUAACACAUGCAAGUCGAACGAGUGGCGGACGGGUGAGUAAUGUCUGGGAAACUAGCUUAUGGAGGGGGAUAACUACGGGAAACUGUAGCUAAUACCGCGUACCAUAGGAUGAGCCCAAGUGGGAUUAGGUAGUUGGUGGGGUAAUGGCUCACCAAGGCGACGAUCCCUAGCUGGUCUGAGAGGAUGACCAGCCACACUGGAACUGAGACACGGCCCAGACUCCUACGGGAGGCAGAAGUGGGGAAUUUUGGACAAUGGGGGAAACCCUGAUCCAGCCAUCCCGCGUGUGCGAUGAAGGCCUUCGGGUUGUAAAGCACUUUUAGCGAGGAGGCGGUACCUGCAGAAGAAGCACCGGCUAACUACGUGCCAGCAGCCGCGGUAAUAC